GUCCUCACCAAUCAGAUUAAAAGGGAAGGCCAGUUCAGGAUACCUCUACACGUAUUCAACCAAGAUAUAUUCUUCAGUUAUCAUUAGGAUUAACUCCAACCCCACAAAUAUUCUAAAUGGAGGGAAAGAAGCAGAUUUACAGUUGAAGAUGGAAAUCUGAAAAAUCUUGACGGCAAUGAAAUUACUCAAUCAUCUGAUUUCAAAAGAAAUAUCCCAAAUGGAAGGCUCCCACUGACCUGAGAGAUUCUAAGACAGUAGAAAUAUCAUCAGUGACUUAUGGACAAGAAUUCUCAGCAGAAUUCUGUUACAGGACUUCAACCAAGGCCUAGUCCUUAUUUGUCAUUAGGACUAACUCAAAGGCCCACGAAUCUUCUAAAUGAAUGAAGGAAAGGUAAGAGUUAUGUAUCAUCACUAAGCA